CUGUUUGACAGGAAUGGACCAAAUGCUGUCAGUAUUCUCAUUAGUAAAUUUGCAGUCGCUCAGUGAUGGAGUGCUGUGCCUUUGGAGGGGCUUUGGACAGUGAGUCCUGCUUGCUGCACAGGAUCAUAAGGAAGAGCAGCUCCUCUCUGAAGGAUGCAGGCAGAAGGUGGCUGAGAUUUUCUUACAAUGAGACACUUUUUAUGGGACAACAGAAAAGUACACAGAAAGGAAGUGAAGAGCUCCGGUCCUGGGCUUCUGAUGCAGAAUCAAGGAGAAAUAGUGAAAAUAUUGGAAUGGAGAAUGGCAACAAGUGAAAUCACAUUCUAGUCUUGCAUGGAAGUGUGAAACUGCUGCAAAACACCUGGCUCUCACAGCUCCGUUGACUCCAAUGUGAUGCAUGCAGCUGAGUUGGUAUGAACUCAUCAGGCGGACGGGGAGCAGAGCAGAUCUUUAUGAAUUGAAGCACAUCGAGCGAUAACUGAAAUGCCUGAAAAUCAUCACAGCACUGAUAGGUGUGAAUUUAUGCCAGCUCGCAAAGUACUUUUUGUAUCUUAAUUAUUGAGGAGCAGAUGAUUAUGUUAUGUCAUAUCGCUGGGGGGGAUGAGAUUAGAAGCCCGGGGAAUGGGAGUAUCAUUAGAGAAGCAAAGAUGAUGAUAUUUGCUUUGGGAAAAAAGUCCAUAAGAGGUUGGCGUUGUACUGCAGUUACAGCAACAACUGCAGCCAGCAGCUGAGUGCCCGCUUCGACACGGCGCGCUGUGCAAACAACGAUCAUUGUGCACUUCUGGGCUCAGGUGCUAAAUGGAUUACUGGGAAACUCCCAAAAUAAAAACGUGUGAUCCCUACACGAAAUGUAGCUGACGAUUGAGAAGCACCGCUUUAAUGGGUGAUUUUUAUUUUUUAGAUUUUGGCA
rnacentral:lncRNA from 1 species